AAUUUUCUGACAUUAACAUUUCUAAUAUGUUCAACAGAUUGCUCUCACGAUUCAAGCUCAUGAAAGAUCAAUAAUGAGAACAGAAGCAUAAUCUCAACCCCCUGUAGCCAGCCUUUCUGCAAAAACUGGACUACAUUCACUCAACCAGCAAGUUGAAGACAAGUGAGAUGCUGUGAUCCGCUGCCUGAUUUCCUACCUGGGAUAAUCAUCUCAGAAGCUCAUUAAA